UCUCUCUUGGGGAGAAGGAAUGUGUUUCUAAAAGGGAAGCAGCUCUCAUCAAAAGCGCUCAUGAAUCUGGUGACAACAUGGACACGCGCUUCGCGUAGAGCCUGGAAAUUGUCAGGCAGUGGAGGCGGGACGGGGACAAGUAGGACAACGGGCUCCCAAGAGGUUUCGACUUCCCCUUUCCUCCCAGCGGAAUCUCAGCUUCCGGACCUCGCCCCAAGAAGAGUCCAGGGUCGCAGAAAAGGCCCCACGCCUCGCCUCGCGUGCCCCCGGCAACCGCGCGGGCUGGGACGCGGGCCCCGGAGGACAUGAGGGAGGGCGCGGGGAGGACGUGAGCCCACUGGGCAAGGCCGGCAAAGCCGCCGCCAGACCCGAGGCUGGGAGGCGCGCGGAGCCCGAGAAGGGGCUGCGGCGAGCCCGGGUCUGGCCGCUGGCGGCCGUGGAGGAGGCCGGGGCACAAGCGGGACUGGCAAAGUGCGGGGCCGCGGGUGCGCACUCCAGCUCAAACCACGCAGUCUCUCCUUUGCGAUCCGAGCUAGGAGGAGCGCGGGGCGCGACUGGCGAGGCUCAGGCCUAGAGGCCAGAAGCUGGAGACUCAAGACUCGCGAGGGCUUUAUUCAGACGGACGCAGCCCCCACGUCCCCGUCCUUCCCCACCCUUCCGCAGUGGAAGCCUUUGCUUCUGUCCUUCUUGCCUGCACGCACCACACACACACACACACACACACAC